rnacentral:tRNA from 1 species
GGCCCCUUGGUCAAGCGGUUAAGACGGCGCCCUCUCACGGCGCAAUCAGGAGUUCGAUUCUCCUAGGGGUCACCA